CCUACGGGAGACAGCAGUGGGGAAUAUUGCUCAAUGGGGGAAACCCUGAAGCAGCAAAGCCGCGUGGAGGAUGACGGUUUUAUGGUUGGAAACUCCUUUUGUUAGGGGAGAUAAUGGCGGUAUCUGACGAGUAAUCCACGGCUAACUCCGUUCCAGCAGCCGCGGUACUACGGCGGGUGCAAGCGUUACUCGGAAUCACUGGGCGUAAAGCGCGCGUAGGCGGGAUAGCAAGUCAGAUGUGAAAUCCUAUGGCUUAACCAUAGAACUGCAUUUGAAACUGUUAUUCUAGAGUAUGGGAGAGGUAGGUGGAAUUCUUGGUGUAGGGGUAAAAUCCGUAGAGAUCAAGAGGAAUACUCAUUGCGAAGGCGACCUGCUAGAACAUAACUGACGCUGAUGCGCGAAAGCGUGGGGAGCAAACAGGAUUAGAUACCCGGGUAGUC
rnacentral:rRNA from 1 species